rnacentral:sRNA from 2 species
GGGCAGCCAUCGCCGAGUCCCCGUCAGGCGCGAGCCUGGGGAGCCGGGGACCCAUGUCCCUGGGGUGAAUCGGAUGCCUUCGCCGGCCGUGCGGAGGUGCCCGUAGGAGACCUUCCUGCUCCGAACCCGUCAGCUAACCCGGUAGGCGAGAAGGAAGGAAAGG